rnacentral:rRNA from 1 species
UGAAUCCAUAGGUUAAUGAGGCGAACCGGGGGAACUGAAACAUCUAAGUACCCCGAGGAAAAGAAAUCAACCGAGAUUCCCCCAGUAGCGGCGAGCGAACGGGGAGCAGCCCAGAGUCUGAAUCAGUGUGUGUGUUAGUGGAAGCGUCUGGAAAGGCGCGCGAUACAGGGUGACAGCCCCGUACACAAAAAUGCACAUGCUGUGAGCUCGAUGAGUAGGGCGGGACACGUGGUAUCCUGUCUGAAUAUGGGGGGACCAUCCUCCAAGGCUAAAUACUCCUGACUGACCGAUAGUGAACCAGUACCGUGAGGGAAAGGCGAAAAGAAC